rnacentral:rRNA from 1 species
UACGUAGGGUGCGAGCGUUAAUCGGAAUUACUGGGCGUAAAGCGUGCGCAGGCGGCUUUGCAAGACAGAUGUGAAAUCCCCGGGCUCAACCUGGGAACUGCAUUUGUGACUGCAAGGCUAGAGUACGGCAGAGGGGGAGGGAAUUCCGCGUGUAGCAGUGAAAUGCGUAGAUAUGCGGAGGAACACCAAUGGCGAAGGCAAUCCCCUGGGCCUGUACUGACGCUCAUGCACGAAAGCGUGGGGAGCAAACAGG